CAAAAAGACACGGUAGGAUUG
rnacentral:misc_RNA from 1 species